rnacentral:rRNA from 1 species
UCGACCGCCUGGGGAGUACGGCUGCAAGGUUAAAACUCAAAUGAAUUGACGGGGGCCCGCACAAGCGGUGGAGCAUGUGGUUUAAUUCGAUGCAACGCGAAGAACCUUACCUGGUCUUGACAUCCACAGAACUUGGCAGAGAUGCCUUGGUGCCUUCGGGAACUGUGAGACAGGUGCUGCAUGGCUGUCGUCAGCUCGUGUUGUGAAAUGUUGGGUUAAGUCCCGCAACGAGCGCAACCCUUAUCCUUUGUUGCCAGCGGUUAGGCCGGGAACUCAAAGGAGACUGCCAGUGAUAAACUGGAGGAAGGUGGGGAUGACGUCAAGUCAUCAUGGCCCUUACGACCAGGGCUACACACGUGCUACAAUGGCGCAUACAAAGAGAAGCGAUCUCGCGAGAGCCAGCGGACCUCAUAAAGUGCGUCGUAGUCCGGAUUGGAGUCUGCAACUCGACUCCAUGAAGUCGGAAUCGCUAGUAAUC